AUGCUGGGUCCCGAGGGAGGUGAAGGAUUUGUGGUCAAGUUCCGCGGCUUGCCAUGGUCUUGCUCUAUUGAGGAUGUGCAGAAUUUCCUCUCUGAAUGCAAAAUUCAUGAUGGCGUAGUAGGUGUUCAUUUCAUCUACACCAGAGAAGGCAGACAGAGUGGUGAGGCUUUUGUUGAACUUGAAUCAUAAGAUGAUGUAAAAAUGGCCCUGAAGAAAGACAGAGAAAGCAUGGGGCAUCGCUACAUUGAGGUAUUCAAGUCCCACAGAACUGAAAUGGAUUGGGUGUUGAAGCACAGUGGUCCAAGCAGCGCCGACAGUGCCAAUGAUGGCUUUGUGCGUCUUCAAGGACUCCCAUUUGGAUGCACAAAGGAAGAAAUUGUUCAGUUCUUCUCAGGGUUGGAAAUCAUGCCAAAUGGGAUCACUUUGCCAGUGGACCCUGAGGGCAAGAUUACAGGGGAGGCCUUCGUGUAGUUUGCUUCACAGGAGUUAGCUGAGAAGGCACUAGGGAAGCACAAGGAAAGAAUAGGGCCCAGGUAUACUGAAGUGUUCAAAAGCAGUCAGGAAGAGUGAGAUCACACUCCGAUCCCCCGCUGAAGUUCAUGUUUGUUCAGUGACCAGGGCCCUAUGACAGGCCUGGCACUGCCCAGAGAUAUACUGGCAUUGUCAAACAAGCAGGCUUUGACAGGAUGAGGUCUGGGACCUACAGCACAGGCUAUGGGGGCUAUGAGGAGUAUAGUGGCCUCAGCGACAACUAUGGUUUCACCACUGAUCUGUUUGGAAGAGAUCUCAGUUACUGUCUGUCAGGAAUGUAUGACCACAGAUAUGGAGACAGUGAGUUCACUGUCCAGAGCACAACUGGACACUGUGUCCACAUGAGGGGGCUACCAUACAAAGCGACCGAGAAUGACAUUUAUAACUUCUUCUCUCCACUCAACCCUGUGAGAGUUCAUAUUGAGAUUGGCCCUGAUGGAAGAGUGACCAGUGAAGCAGAUGUCGAGUUUGCCACUCAUGAAGAAGCUGUGGCCGCCAUGUCAAAAGACAGAGCCAACAUGCAACACAGAUACAUAGAGCUCUUCUUGAAUUCAACCACAGGGUCCAGCAAUAGGGCUGACAGUAGCCAAAUGAUACAGGGCAUGGGGAUGUCAACCCAAUCCACUUACACUGGCCUCAAGAGCCAGUCAGUGAGUGGCUGUUACGGGGCUGGCUAUAGCGGUCAGGAGAACAUGGGUGGAUAUGACUAGUUUUAUAGAAACAUUUGAGUUAUUUCAAUCAAAUUUUCACAGGCAGCCAACAAGAAGUGGAGAGCAGUUAUUACAUAGAGAAGCUGUGGGACCCAUUUUGCACCAUGAGUUUGUGAAAUCUGGAUUUAAAAAAAAAAAAUUACUUCUUCAGUGUUUUCUCAUGCAAACUUUCUUCUAGCAUGUGAUAAAGAUAUUGAGUAAACUAUAAGAAACUAUUUUCAGCUUUUCUCAAUUAACGUUUUGGUAGUAUACUUCAGAGUGAUGUCCAAGUUAAAGUAGUUUAAAAUAUGUUAAAUGUGGAUCUUUUGCACCACAUUACAGUCAAACAUUUGGGAGUCAUGCUUUUUUGGAAAACUCAAAGGUGCUAGAUCCCUAAUCCAAAGAGAACCAUUUCUCAUGUUUGUUCAUUCUAGUUUGUUUCCAUUUAAAAUCUUUUAGGUUAAGUUUUAAGCUUUUAAAAAGUUAAUUUUGAAAAUUGAGACACAAUACUAAUACUGUAGGAUUUUUGGUGAGGCCUUGACUUAAACCUUUCUUUGUACUGUGAUUUCCUUUUGGGUGUAUUUUGCUAAGUGAAACUUGUUAACUAAAUUAUUUUCUUAAAAUAAAGACUUUUUCACAA